UGGAAUUGAAAUGAGGUUCUCUUGAUUAAAGUGAUUAAAAAUAAUUCAAAACAAGUAAUUAUGCAGAGAGUCGGCUCUGAAGAGAGAGAUUUGAGAAUCGACUCUCUCCCUCUUUUUCUUUCUCUUUCUCGUAUCUCUGGUGAUUCUGCGACCCUUGAGAAAGGAAGACGGAGGAUUAGUAGCAGAAGAAGAAGAGUUUAGCCAUAUCUACAUAGAAGGAAGAUGGCCUUUUCUCAUCAAAUAAAUCUCUCGCCUUUUCUCAUCCAAAUUCUGAUGCCACAAAGCUAGCCACAAUCACAAACCCAAUUUCUACUUGUCGGGUUCAUGUUCCCAAACUUGUUGGAAUCCGAUCCACCUUCGCUUCUGGUUCUCCUCUUUGUACGUCUUCCUUGGUCCUGACCAAUUCUCCAAUUCUCUAAAUUUAAGCUUUAGUUUGAAAAUUAGGGUUUCUGGGUAUCCUAAGCAGCUCAAUUUUUGAUAGUUUUGAUUCGUUUUAUAGACUGAAUUGUUCACAUAUGAAACAGAGCAUAAACAAUUGGUUAGAGGUAAGCUUGAGAUUAGCUUGGCUGAACAUCAAUAGUGGCAAGAAAAGAGGAAUCAAAUUGAAAGAGAAAUUGAAUGUUGUUGCGGCAGCUAAUGCGUAUUAGAGGAAGAACUUAGCAUUGUGAGAGAGUGAUCUUAUUGAUUUAGUGGUGUUGCAUGAACUUAGCAUGAUGGAUUAGGUUGAAAAAAGAAGAAGCAAGUUUUAGUGUUGUUUACAUGAUAAAUGUAGUAACCGGUGCUUGAGAUCUUUAUUUUGGCUUGGUGAUACUAACAGAAGAUGAUGAGGAAGAACACGAAGAUGUGGUAACAUUAAGCAGAACACAGAGAUGAUGUUUGAAUGGCUAGGGAAAUGGAAUGGACUAGUUUGGAAUUCAGAUGAAGUGGGUUUUGUAAAGGUCAUAGGAGACAACAAGAGGUUGGAUACCAUAUCUGUAGGUUUCAGUUACAAUAACAUUGGAAGCGAAUAGUUAGGUAAUAGGUAAGAAUUAUCCUCAUCUGCCUCAGUUGCACUCUUUUUGAAUACACCUUCCUUUUCUCUAUA